ACAAUAUCUGCAGCAGUGCCUGCAAUAUUCA
rfam:Manacus vitellinus contig21485, whole genome shotgun sequence.